rnacentral:rRNA from 1 species
AUGGCCGCCGCCGCCACCGGAACAGGGGGCCAGACCCUCGGCCGGAGCAGCUUCUCGCGCGCCGCCUCAUCGAAGACCGCCUCCUCCUCCUCCUCCCCCACCGCCUCCGGCGUCAAGCUCGGCCCCAACGGCGCCGCCUUCGUCUCCUCCGGCAUCCCCGACCUCGACAGGAUCCUGGGCGGCGGUUUUCUCCUCGGCUCGGUCGUGAUGGUCAUGGAGGACUCCGACGCGCCGCACCACCUCCUCCUGCUCCGGGCCUUCAUGGCGCAGGGCGUCGUGCACAAGCAGCCCCUGCUCUUCGCCGCGCCUAUGAAAGAGCCCCGCUCGUUCCUCGGCGCGCUGCCUGCUCCGGUGGCGUCCUCGAAGGAGGAUGCCCGGCAGAGGGCGAUGGCGGGCGGAGCAGCUGGCGACGGACGGGCAAGCGAUGAGGGUUUGAGGAUAGCUUGGCAGUACAGGAAGUACUUUGGGGACGAGAGGAAUUCCGGUGCUGAACACAGAGACAGCAAGCAGGAAUUUAGCCAUGAUUUUGAUUUACGGAAGCCCCUGGAACGGCAUUUACUUAAUGCACAGCAUAUUGAAUGUUUGAGCACUCAAGAUGUGGAUACUCUCCAUGAUCUCCAGGAUCGCUGUUCUGCUUUCUUAUCCAAACAUCAAAGAAAAGAGGGUGGGAAUCUGAGUGCAGGACGUAUUGCUAUACAGUCACUCUGUGCACCACAGUGUGGAUAUUUUGGGAAGGACUGGGACAUGGUCUCGUUUCUCAGAUCACUGAAGGCCAUGGUGCACUCAUCUAACGCGGUUGCCAUUAUAACAUUUCCACACACAGUCCUAUCAGAUUCUUUCUGCAAGAGAUGGCAGCACCUAGCAGACACGCUGCUGUCAAUAAAAGCAAUCCCAGAUGAGGACAAGGACUUGGCGAAACUCCUCACAGGGUAUCAGGAUAUGGUUGGUUUUCUACAUGUUCAUAAGGUGGCACAGACCAACAGCCAGGUUCCUGUGAUAUUAGAGGCGUCCACAUUUUCUCUGAAGCUGCGAAAGAGGAGGUCGCUGGUGCUAGAACGGCUGAAUCAGGCCCCGGUGGACGGGUCGAGCGGGCCCUCGUCUGGUGGAUCAGGCAGUUGCUCGUCCUCGACGCAAGGCUCGCAGCUCGACUUCUAG